rnacentral:misc_RNA from 1 species
AAAAAUUAUAAUAUAUAAAACUGAAUUUGAGUAAUGAAUGUCUCACGUAUAAAAUUCAAACUUAUUGAUACUUAAUAAGAAUAUUAUUUUCUAAAUUCAAAUUCAUUGCAUAACCCAAUUAUAUUCAAACUCGUGUUAAUAGUGUCCACCCAAAUUAGUGUCUAACUCAAUGUGAUGCUUAAACUUGUCAGGUUUCAAUUUCGAUCUCAAAUAUAUAUAUACUUUUUAAGAAAUUUCCG